AGAGUUUGAUCCUGGCUCAGAACGAACGCUGGCGGCAGGCCUAACACAUGCAAGUCGAGCGCGCCUUCGGGUGAGCGGCGGACGGGUUAGUAACGCGUGGGAACGUGCCCUUCUCUACGGAAUAGCCUCUGGAAACGGAGAGUAAUACCGUAUACGCCCUUUGGGGGAAAGAUUUAUCGGAGAAGGAUCGGCCCGCGUUAGAUUAGGUAGUUGGUGGGGUAACGGCCUACCAAGCCUACGAUCUAUAGCUGGUUUUAGAGGAUGAUCAGCAACACUGGGACUGAGACACGGCCCAGACUCCUACGGGAGGCAGCAGUGGGGAAUCUUAGACAAUGGGGGCAACCCUGAUCUAGCCAUGCCGCGUGAGUGAUGAAGGCCUUAGGGUCGUAAAGCUCUUUCGCCUGUGAUGAUAAUGACAGUAGCAGGUAAAGAAACCCCGGCUAACUCCGUGCCAGCAGCCGCGGUAAUACGGAGGGGGUUAGCGUUGUUCGGAAUUACUGGGCGUAAAGCGCGCGUAGGCGGAUUAGAAAGUUGGGGGUGAAAUCCCGGGGCUCAACCCCGGAACUGCCUCCAAAACUGCUAGUCUAGAGUUCGAGAGAGGUGAGUGGAAUUCCGAGUGUAGAGGUGAAAUUCGUAGAUAUUCGGAGGAACACCAGUGGCGAAGGCGGCUCACUGGCUCGAUACUGACGCUGAGGUGCGAAAGUGUGGGGAGCAAACAGGAUUAGAUACCCUGGUAGUCCACACCGUAAACGAUGAAUGCCAGUCGUCGGGUAGUAUACUAUUCGGUGACACACCUAACGGAUUAAGCAUUCCGCCUGGGGAGUACGGUCGCAAGAUUAAAACUCAAAGGAAUUGACGG
rnacentral:rRNA from 1 species